ensembl:misc_RNA Metazoa_SRP Metazoan signal recognition particle RNA
UUUAUGCACAGUGGUGCAUGCCUGUAGCCCCAGCUACUCGGGAGGCUGAGGUGGGAGGAUCGCUUGAGCCCAGGAUUUCUGGGCUGUAGUGUGCUAUGCCGAUCGGGUGUCCGCACUAAGUUUGGCAUCAAUAUGGUGACCUUCCGGGAGCUGCGGACUAUCAGGUUGGAUGAACUGGCCCAGGUCAGAAAUGGAGCAGGUCAAAACUCCUGUGUUGAUCAGUAGUGGGAUCGUGCCUGUGAAUAGCCACUGCACUCCAGCCUGGCCGACAUGGCGAGACCCCCAUCUCUU